GUCGAACGCUGGCGGCGUGCUUAACACAUGCAAGUCGAACGGAGUGGCGAACGGGUGAGUGACACGUGGGUGACCUGCUCUGCACUUCGGGGUAAGCCUGGGAAACUGGGUCUGAUACCGGAGAGUGUGGGAUGGGCCCGCGGCCUAUGGGCUUGUUGGUGGGGUUAUGGCCUACCAAGGCGGGGACGGGUACCCGGCCUGAGAGGGUGGACGGCCACAUUGGGACUGAGACACGGCCCAGACUCCUACGGGAGGCAGCAGUGGGGAAUAUUGCACAAUGGGCGGAAGCCUGAUGCAGCGACGCCGCGUGGGGGAUGACGGCCUUCGGGUUGUAAACUCCUUUCACCAUCGACGCGGUAGAUGGAGAAGAAGCACCGGCUAACUACGUGCCAGCAGCCGCGGUAAUUC
rnacentral:rRNA from 1 species